CUCCUGGCCGCACUACACAGCUCUUUUGAUAAGAUUUCUGUCAGACAUUAACUGUCGACGGGUCGUGGCACGCAACCAUCGGCUUCUCCCAGAAUGCCAUGGGGCAGUACGUGUUGAGAUCUGUUUUCUAGAGUUUUCUUGUGAAUGGUGUGAAUAGCAAACUCACGGUUUCUCCUCAGGCCAUCCAGAGAUGCUUGCAGACGAGCGGUCAGCCGGUGAACGUGGAGGUGGUCAACUAUGACGGACUCACGCCUCUCCAUGUGGCGGUGCUGUCCCACAAUGCCCUGCUGCAGGAGCUGAGCCGUGGCCCUCCGUCCGCUCAGAGUCCGGCUCUGCUGCAGAAGAAGAAGCUGCUCUCUGAGUGUGUCAGCACUCUGCUGCUGAUGGGCGCCUCGCUGGAGGCCAAGGUUUUACUGGUUAUACUGGUUAUAAUGGGACUUGUAUUGGUUUUAAUGGAGACUGUAAUGGACCCUGUGGGUCUCUACUGGUAACUGGUCACCUUCUGUUGGUGGCUUGUU